AACGUAGGAGGCAAGCGUUAUCCGGAUUCACUGGGCGUAAAGCGCGCGUAGGCGGUUGGGUAAGUCGGAUGUGAAAGCCCUUGGCUCAACUGGGGGAGGUCAUUCGAUACUGCUCGGCUUGAGGAUGAGAGAGGAGAGCGGAAUUCCCGGUGUAGCGGUGGAAUGCGUAGAGAUCGGGAGGAACACCAGCGGCGAAAGCGGCUCUCUGGCUCAUAUCUGACGCUGAGUGCGCGACAGCGUGGGGAGCAAACGGG
rnacentral:rRNA from 1 species